rnacentral:rRNA from 1 species
ACGGAAGGCAGCAGUGGGGGAUAUUGCACAAUGGGGGAAACCCUGAUGCAGCGACGCCGCGUGAGUGAUGAAGUAUUUCGGUAUGUAAAGCUCUAUCAGCAGGAAAGAUAAUGACGGUACCUGACUAAGAAGCACCGGCUGAAUACGUGCCAGCAGCCGCGGUAAUACGUAUGGUGCAAGCGUUAUCCGGAUUUACUGGGUGUAAAGGGAGCGCGGACGGCAUGGCAAGCCAGAUGUGAAAGGCAGGGGCUCAACUCCUGGACUGCAUUUGGAACUGUCAAGCUAGAGUAUCGGAGAGGUAAGUGGAAUUCCUAGUGUAGCGGUGAAAUGCGUAGAUAUUAGGAGGAACACCAGUGGCGAAGGCGGCUUACUGGACGAUAACUGACGUUGAGGCUCGAAAGCGUGGGGAGCGAACAGGAUUAGAUACCCUGGUA